GAUGAACGCUGGCGGCGUGCUUAACACAUGCAAGUCGAACGGAAAGGCCAGUGCUUGCGCUGGUACUCGAGUGGCGAACGGGUGAGUAACACGUGGGUGAUCUGCCUGCACUUCGGGAUAAGCUUGGGAAACUGGGUCUAAUACCGGAUAGGACCAUUGGUUGGUGCCUUUGGUGGAAAGUUUUUUCGGUGUGGGAUGAGCUCGCGGCCUAUCAGCUUGUUGGUGGGGUAAUGGCCUACCAAGGCGUCGACGGGUAGCCGGCCUGAGAGGGUGUACGGCCACAUUGGGACUGAGAUACGGCCCAGACUCCUACGGGAGGCAGCAGUGGGGAAUAUUGCACAAUGGGCGCAAGCCUGAUGCAGCGACGCCGCGUGGGGGAUGACGGCCUUCGGGUUGUAAACGUCCUUUCGCCAAAGACGAAUGUGGACGGUAUUUGGUAGAAGAAGCACCGGCGUAACUACGUGCCAGCAGCCGCGGUAAU
rnacentral:rRNA from 1 species